UUUGCAAUCAUAUGACUUGUCGAGAUAGAUGGUGAGGAUUUACGGUGUAGCGUAUUCAUAAAAGGAUAUAAGGAUGAUUAUGUGAGAUGUGCAUGUGCGAGUGUGUGGUGCGAGAAGCAGGGGAUUCCUCCUCUACCUUUAUCUUUUCCCAAAGAGAAUAAUUCUCCCAUUUCUCUCCCUCACUCUUCGGCUCUCUGUCUCUCUCUCCUCUCCUCCGAAACUUUCUCUCCUCUCUUCUCUCUUCGAUUUCAUCCACCUAGGGUGUGGUUCCGGACAAGGCCCGAGAAUUAAAGUUGCUAUUCGGAGUACGAGCUUUCCGAAUAUCCAAGAAAAAUCAUGAUCGGACCUCGUGGAGCUACGGUUGACUUGGUCAAAUUGUCGGGUUUUGCUCAAAACCGUUGAGGUACACUACAGAGACACAAUCUUGGAGGGUGUGAAGUGCAUGCAGACAUUACAGGCUAAAGUUAUUUUCUGAAGUACUUGUUUUUCUUCGUAAAUCAAAUUGCAUUGUACUAUUUUCUCUAUUUUGGAAUACUGUAUCAGUUGAUAGAUUUGUGAGAUUCAUAAACUGUAUUGUUAUUUGGGGUAUCGUAUGUACUAUUGUGAGGAUUUAUAUUUAAAAUGGUAUUAUUAUUUAAGUUUAAAA